GAUGAACGCUGGCGGCGUGCCUAAUACAUGCAAGUCGAGCGAACAGAUAAGGAGCUUGCUCCUUUGACGUUAGCGGCGGACGGGUGAGUAACACGUGGGUAACCUACCUAUAAGACUGGAAUAACUCCGGGAAACCGGGGCUAAUGCCGGAUAACAUUUAGAACCGCAUGGUUCUAAAGUGAAAGAUGGUUUUGCUAUCACUUAUAGAUGGACCCGCGCCGUAUUAGCUAGUUGGUAAGGUAACGGCUUACCAAGGCAACGAUACGUAGCCGACCUGAGAGGGUGAUCGGCCACACUGGAACUGAGACACGGUCCAGACUCCUACGGGAGGCAGCAGUAGGGAAUCUUCCGCAAUGGGCGAAAGCCUGACGGAGCAACGCCGCGUGAGUGAUGAAGGUCUUCCGGAUCGUAAAACUCUGUUAUUAGGGAAGAACAAUUGUGUAAGUAACUAUGCACGUCUUGACGGUACCUAAUCACCGAGCCACGGCUAACUACGUGCCAGCAGCCGCGGUAAUACGUAGGUGGCAAGCGUUAUCCGGAAUUAUUGGGCGUAAAGCGCGCGUAGGCGGUUUCUUAAGUCUGAUGUGAAAGCCCACGGCUCAACCGUGGAGGGUCAUUGGAAACUGGGAAACUUGAGUGCAGAAGAGGAAAGUGGAAUUCCAUGUGUAGCGGUGAAAUGCGCAGAGAUAUGGAGGAACACCAGUGGCGAAAGCGACUUUCUGGUCUGUAACUGACGCUGAUGUGCGAAAGCGUGGGAAUCAAACAGGAUUAAAUACCGUGGUAGUCCACGCCGUAAACGAUGAGUGCUAAGUGUUAGGGGGGUUUCCGCCCCUUACUGCCGCAGCUUAAGGCAUAAAACACUCCGCCUGGAGAGUACGACCGCAAGGUGGACACUCAAAGAAAUAGACGGGGACCCGCCACAAGCGGUGGAGCAUGUGGUUUAAUUCGAAGCAACGCGAAGAACCUUACCAAAUCUUGACAUCCUUGGACAACUCUAGAGAUAGAGCCUUCCCCUUCGGGGGACAAAGUGACAGGUGGUGCAUGGUUGUCGUCAGCUCCUGUCGUGAGAUGUUGGGUUAAGUCCCGCAACGAGCGCAACCCUUAAACUUAGUUGCCAGCAUUUAGUUGGGCACUCUAAGUUGACUGCCGGUGACAAACCGGAGGAAGGAGGGGAUGACGUCAAAUCAUCAUGCCCCUUAUGAUUUGGGCUACACACGUGCUACAAUGGACAAUACAAAGGGCAGCUAAACCGCGAGGUCAUGCAAAUCCCAUAAAGUUGUUCUCAGUUCGGAUUGUAGUCUGCAACUCGACUACAUGAAGCUGGAAUCGCUAGUAAUCGUAGAUCAGCAUGCUACGGUGAAUACGUUCCCGGGUCU
rnacentral:rRNA from 1 species